UACGGAGGGAGCUAGCGUUGUUCGGAAUAACUGGGCGUAAAGCGUACGUAGGCGGCUUUGUAAGUAAGAGGUGAAAGCCUGGAGCUCAACUCCAGAACUGCCUUUUAGACUGCAUCGCUUGAAUCCUGGAGAGGUGAGUGGAAUUCCGAGUGUAGAGGUGAAAUUCGUAGAUAUUCGGAAGAACACCAGUGGCGAAGGCGGCUCACUGGACAGGUAUUGACGCUGAGGUACGAAAGCGUGGGGAGCAAACAGG
rnacentral:rRNA from 1 species